rnacentral:lncRNA from 1 species
UGUGAAUGUAACCAAGUGUCAGCAUCCAGGAGAGCUCCAAAUAGGACCAAAGAUGUCCAUGUGUGCUGGAGGCUCGGUCCACUCACUUUCUCCCAAAAGCCUGAUGUCAGGAAAUAAUGAUGUGCUCCUGUUCCACUGCAGAAUGCUAGAUCCUUCCCAAGCUCUAUGUCAAUGCCAGAUAAGAUAAAUAUCGGAGCCCUCACAAGCCUUGCAUCCAGAAGACAGAUCUCAAAGCCCCAUUCUUCCUGCAGUCUUCCUGGGAGCUUAGAGGGUGAGUGACCCCUUAGUCAUUUCUGGGGUCUGGAUAAGGGGCUGGAGACCAGGGCACUGGAGAAAGGAUCUAAAAAUAAAGAUAAGUGUAGAAUGAAUAUUUUACUUCAUCAACAACAGGAUGAUUUAUCAACAUAUGGCAUGACUAGCAAUCUAUGUGACUGAAAACCAAGACAGCCUGCUGUUCACUCUGUGUCAAAACCCCAGCCUAGCUUAGCAUCUCUGAACCCAG